CAUAGUUCAGCUGGUUAGAGCGUCGGAUUGUGGUUCCGAAGGUCGUGGGUUCGAAUCCCACUG
rnacentral:tRNA from 1 species